rnacentral:rRNA from 1 species
GAUGAACGCUGGCGGCGUGCCUAAUACAUGCAAGUCGAGCGAACAGACGAGAGUGCUUGCACUCUCUGACGUUAGCGGCGGACGGGUGAGUAACACGUGGGUAACCUACCUAUAAGACUGGGAUAACUUCGGGAAACCGGAGCUAAUACCGGAUAAUAUUUAGCUUCGCAUGAAGCAAUAGUGAAAGACGGUUCUGCUGUCACUUAUAGAUGGACCCGCGGUGUAUUAGCUAGUUGGUGAGGUAACGGCUCACCAAGGCAACGAUACAUAGCCGACCUGAGAGGGUGAUCGGCCACACUGGGACUGAGACACGGUCCAGACUCCUACGGGAGGCAGCAGUAGGGAAUCUUCCGCAAUGGACGAAAGUCUGACGGAGCAAUGCCGCGUGAGUGAAGAAGGUUUUCGGAUCGUAAAACUCUGUUGUAAGGGAAGAACAAGUACGUUAGUAACUGAACGUACCUUGACGGUACCUUACCAGAAAGCCACGGCUAACUACGUG